rnacentral:rRNA from 1 species
UACAGAGGGGGCAAGCGUUGUUCGGAAUUACUGGGCGUAAAGGGCGCGUAGGCGGCUUGUUAAGUCAGGGGUGAAAGUUUUCGGCCCAACCGGAAAAUUGCCUUUGAUACUGGCGAGCUGGAGUGCGUGAGGGGUGACCGGAACGAGUGGUGUAGCGGUGAAAUGCGUAGAUAUCACUCGGAAGGCCAACGGCGAAGGCAGGUCACUGGUGCGCAACUGACGCUGAGGCACGAAAGCGUGGGGAGCAAACAGG